GCCUUCGUGGUGUAGUGGUCAGCACGCUCGACGCAUAACCUAGAGGUCCGUGGUUUGAAUCCCGGCGACGGCA
rnacentral:tRNA from 1 species